GAUGAACGCUGGCGGCGUGCCUAAUACAUGCAAGUCGAGCGAACGGACGAGAAGCUUGCUUUUCUGAUGUUAGCGGCGGACGGGUGAGUAACACGUGGAUAACCUACCUAUAAGACUGGGAUAACUUCGGGAAACCGGAGCUAAUACCGGAUAAUAUUUUGAACCGCAUGGUUCAAAAGUGAAAGACGGUCUUGCUGUCACUUAUAGAUGGAUCCGCGCUGCAUUAGCUAGUUGGUAAGGUAACGGCUUACCAAGGCAACGAUGCAUAGCCGACCUGAGAGGGUGAUCGGCCACACUGGAACUGAGACACGGUCCAGACUCCUACGGGAGGCAGCAGUAGGGAAUCUUCCGCAAUGGGCGAAAGCCUGACGGAGCAACGCCGCGUGAGUGAUGAAGGUCUUCGGAUCGUAAAACUCUGUUAUUCGGGAAGAACAUAUGUGUAAGUAACUGUGCACAUCUUGACGGUACCGAAUCAGAAAGCCACGGCUAACUACGUG
rnacentral:rRNA from 1 species